rnacentral:rRNA from 1 species
GACGAACGCUGGCGGCGUGCUUAACACAUGCAAGUCGAACGGAAAGGCCCUGCUUGCAGGGUACUCGAGUGGCGAACGGGUGAGUAACACGUGGGUGAUCUGCCCUGCACUUCGGGAUAAGCUUGGGAAACUGGGUCUAAUACCGGAUAGGUGCCAUCUUUAGUGUGGUGGUUGGAAAGUUUUUUCGGUGUAGGAUGAGCUCGCGGCCUAUCAGCUUGUUGGUGGGGUAAUGGCCUACCAAGGCGGCGACGGGUAGCCGGCCUGAGAGGGUGUACGGCCACAUUGGGAGUGAGAAACGGCCCAGACUCCUACGGGAGGCAGCAGUGGGGAGUAUUGGACAAUGGGCGCAAGCCUGAUGCAGCGACGCCGCGUGGGGGAUGAAGGCCUUCGGGUUGUAAACUCCUAUCGCUAGGGAAGAAGCUUUUUUGUGACGGUACCUAGAUAAGAAGCACCGGCUAACUACGUG